rnacentral:rRNA from 1 species
UACAGAGGUCUCAAGCGUUUGUUCGGAAUUACUGGGCGUAAAGGGUGCGCAGGCCGCGCGGACAGUCAAAUGUGAAAUUCAGGGGCUCAACCCCUGCAUUGCGCUUGAUACUUCCGCGCUCGAGCCUUGGAAAGGAGUCUGGAAUUCUCGGUGUAGCAGUGAAAUGCGUAGAUAUCGAGAGGAACACUAAGGGCGAAGACAAGACUCUGGACAAGUGCUGACGCUCAUGCACGAAGGCUAGGGUAGCGAACGGG